rnacentral:tRNA from 1 species
GCACUCGUAACUCAGUUGGAUAGAGUGUCAGAUUCCGAUUCUGGAUGCACGGGUUCGAAUCCUGUCGGGUGCGCCA